CGGUCUGAGGGACAGCGAACUGGCCCCCUGUGUAAAAAGUUUGGGGCCGCCUGGGGUAGAGUCCGGAUUCCUGCCAUCUUGCCCCGUCUCCUGCCAAAGGCCACCCUAGACCUGCACAGCCUCUCACCGUUUCUGAAGGUGUGACUAUACUCUCUGCUUUCUUUUCCUGGGCUUCUCUCUUGCUCCUUUUUAUCUCUGAGGACCAGGAACAUUUGCCUCCUCUUCCUGGAAGCCUUCCCGGAGCCUUCCCUGGGUCCCUGCUUCCUGCCCAUCACAGCCCUGGUCCCGCUGGAGUGACGCCGUCUGUCUGAGCCUCUGUCACUGCCAGGGGCGCCCAGAGGGUCAGGUUUGGGUCUGCCUUGGUUCGGUGUCCCCAGCGUGACCCACCACAGUGUGCAGCCCGAAGGGGGUCUCAGUGCCUGAAGCUGCAGCACGCAUGCCUCCAACAGGCCUGGGCUUGGAGAGCAUGCCCAGGAGGCGGGCAGCGGCUGGCACCCUCGCGCCCCCCGGGACACCUGCAGCAGUCUGGCCGCGUCUGCUGCUUGGCACUAAUGUCUCAUUAAUAAGUAGAUUUGGCACCCGCUUUUCCCCUUUCAUCCCCAACCCUCUGAACAUGUCCCCAACGUUAAUUAAUUCUCCCCACACCCAAAACGAGGCUGCUCUUCCCACAGCAGAUAAUGAUGUGUGAAGUCCUUUCGGUGAAGGUGUCGUGAUGAAUUCCACUGUGUAAUUAGAUCGUCUCUUCCCGCCUCCCAGACCGUUUCCAGUUCCCCUCUCUCCCCUGGCCCAACAGGUGGGCUCAAGGCCUUCAGCACAGAGCUCUGGCUUGUUACUGUCACGAAGCCACACCUGAGCUCGAUGCCUCAACAGCUCGGCGUGUCCUUGCAAAAUACAAUGAGGGAAGUUUUGCAGAGAUGGCAGAGGCAGAAGAGGAGCGGUGAUUGCUUGGUGUUGGCCUGGCUUUCCCAAUGACACUGAGAAUCCCUGAAUCAGAUGCAAGUUUCCAUGUCUUUGCAUCCUGGGGGACGAGCAGAGGACUUUGCAUCCAGUAGAUGGGGACGGCAUUUCCAUCCACUGGACACGCACACCAGGAAGCUGGUGUCCCCUUUGAAGGUCAUCUCUGCCUGGGUCCCUCGUCUAACACCAACCAUUCCAGAUCCUGCUGAUUCCUGCUGCGUUUUGUCCCACAGGCCUCCUUGGCUGACCCCACCCCCUGCCCUGUCCCCUACACACGGGAGAUCUGGCCAAACUGCAGUCUUCAUCCUGCCACCUCCCUGCCCAAGCUCUUCUCUGACUCCUGACUCCCACAGCCAGCCAGCCCUGGGCUGCCGGGUGUCACGUGACCGGUGGCCGCAGACACACCUGAGACCCUGGCUUCCCCCCGCCCCCCACAGGUUUCUUCAAGCUCCCAGGUCAUUACACGAGGUGCCUCUUCCCAAAUGGCAGCCCCCACCUCGGCCCAUUCACCUCCGGCCGAGGGAACCCUCAUCUGCUCUGCAGCCCCGGUCACAGCCGCCAUCCCAGAGUCCGGAGGUUUCCAGCCUGAGGUCCGGAGCCGCUGCCGUGUGCAAACCGCGGCUUCCCCGGCCCAGCCUCCUCAUCUGUAAAACGAGGGUGAGACUUGUUCUCAUCGCACCGGGCGGUCUUGCCGUGAGGACUCAAUGAGGUGUGGAAAGUGCUGAGGACGUGACAGGUAGAGAGCGCCACGCGAAUGCCCGGCUGUGAUUGUUGUUAGGGAGGCGCCUGCCUUCCCCGCCAACUUCUCAGAGAUAAGACUGGGGCUUCUUCACGGACGAAUCAUUUCAUUCAACGGACAUUUAUGGAGGCCCUUCCUCCGUGCAGGGCAGUGUCCUGCGUGCCGGGGACACGCCAGUGCUCAGACGUCCCCCACACUCAGCCUAGGCCCCAGGUGACAUAGAAGAGCAGUGACCAAAUGGUGGCAUCAGGAGUCUGCCCGAUGGAUGGAUGGGGGCAUGGAUGGGUAGAUGGGUGGAGGGACA